UGGGCCCACGGAUUAAUAAUCUCAAUCCUAUACUUUAAUCCUUCCAAUCAAACAUGCCAUAAAGGUAUCUCCACCAAUGUUCCAUAAUUUGGUAUACGGAUGCACCCAUUAAGUAUCCAUGGAGUACCCAAUUGCCAAAGCAUGUAUAAAAAGUAUCCGAUACGUAUUUCAAAUACUGAUAUACAUGCAGUUUUAGAGGUACGAGCACCAAUACCCGGAAUACAUGCAAUCUUAUCGGUAUUAGAACCAGUACCCAGUAAGUACCCAAUACGAUUAUGGCAACAUUCCAGGAUUACCCAUGCUUAUAUAUUUUUUUCAUCCUUAUGUCUGCACUUUGUUUAUGUUUAUUUGUGGUUUAAGCAUUGAAAAAUUCUUUGCAAAUGCAGAUUCAGAUUAGCGUUAUGAAAUCUCUUUUAUGUUGUUUCAAUUACACUCCAUCCCUAAAUUUCCUCAUUAACCACGCAGAUCACCAAACAAUUCAUUUUCCCUGUGAGAAAUAAAAAAUUUAGUAUAAAAAUAAAAAAUAAAAACAAAAACAAAAACAAAA